rnacentral:rRNA from 1 species
GAUGAACGCUGGCGGCGUGCCUAAUACAUGCAAGUCGAGCGAACAGAUGAGGAGCUUGCUCCUCUGACGUUAGCGGCGGACGGGUGAGUAACACGUGGAUAACCUACCUAUAAGACUGGGAUAACUUCGGGAAACCGGAGCUAAUACCGGAUAAUAUAUUGAACCGCAUGGUUCAAUAGUGAAAGACGGUUUUGCUGUCACUUAUAGAUGGAUCCGCGCCGCAUUAGCUAGUUUGUAAGGUAACGGCUUACCAAGGCAACGAUGCGUAGCCGACCUGAGAGGGUGAUCGGCCACACUGGAACUGAGACACGGUCCAGACUCCUACGGGAGGCAGCAGUAGGGAAUCUUCCGCAGUGGGCGAAAGCCUGACGGAGCAACGCCGCGUGAGUGAUGAAGGUCUUCGGAUCGUAAAACUCUGUUAUUAGGGAAGAACAAAUGUGUAAGUAACUAUGCACGUCUUGACGGUACCUAAUCAGAAAGCCACGGCUAACUACGUG